AUUGAACGCUGGCGGCAUGCCUUACACAUGCAAGUCGAACGGCAGCAUGGAGAGCUUGCUCUCUGAUGGCGAAUGGCGAACGGGUGAGUAAUACAUCGGAACGUACCUUAUCGUGGGGGAUAACGCAGCGAAAGCUGUGCUAAUACCGCAUACGCCCUGAGGGGGAAAGCGGGGGAUCGCAAGACCUCGCGCGAUUAGAGCGGCCGAUGCCUGAUUAGCUUGUUGGGGGGGUAAAAGCCCACCAAGGCGACGAUCAGUAGCUGGUCUGAGAGGACGAUCAGCCACACUGGGACUGAGACACGGCCCAGACUCCUACGGGAGGCAGCAGUGGGGAAUUUUGGACAAUGGGGGCAACCCUGAUCCAGCAAUGCCGCGUGAGUGAAGAAGGCCUUCGGGUUGUAAAGCUCUUUUGUCAGGGAAGAAACACCGGCUCUAACACAGUCUGGGAAUGACGGUACCUGAAGAAUAAGCACCGGCUAACUACGUGCCAGCAGCCGCCGUAA
rnacentral:rRNA from 1 species